rnacentral:rRNA from 1 species
AACGAACGCUGGCGGCGUGGAUAAGACAUGCAAGUCGAACGCUGACUUCAGGGUAGCAAUAUUCUGGAGUCGGAGUGGCGCAAGGGUGCGUAACACGUGGGUAAUUUGCCGCGAAGUCUGGGAUAACUUGCUGAAAGGCGAGCUAAUACCGGAUGGGGUUGGGUGGUGGCAUCAUCGGCCAACCAAAGUUGGGGACCCGCAAGGGCCUGACGCUUCGCGAUAAGCCCGCGGCCAUCAGCUAGUUGGUGAGGUAACGGCUCACCAAGGCUAAGACGGGUAGCUGGUCUGAGAGGACGACCAGCCACACUGGAACUGAGAGACGGUCCAGACACCUACGGGUGGCAGCAGUCGAGAAUUUUCACAAUGGGCGCAAGCCUGAUGGAGCGACGCCGCGUGGGGGAUGAAGGGCUUCGGCUCGUAAACCCCUGUCAUUUGCGAAC